CAGCAGCCGCGGUAAAACGUAGGGUGCAAGCGUUAAUCGGAAUUACUGGGCGUAAAGCGUGCGCAGGCGGUUUUGUAAGACAGAGGUGAAAUCCCCGGGCUCAACCUGGGAACUGCCUUUGUGACUGCAAGGCUAGAGUACGGCAGAGGGGGAUGGAAUUCCGCGUGUAGCAGUGAAAUGCGUAGAUAUGCGGAGGAACACCGAUGGCGAAGGCAAUCCCCUGGGCCUGUACUGACGCUCAUGCACGAAAGCGUGGGGAGCAAACAGGAUUAGAUACCCUGUAGUCCCUGUCUCUUAUACA
rnacentral:rRNA from 1 species